AGCAAAAUAAGCAAAUGGAAAA
rnacentral:miRNA from 2 species